UACGUAGGGGGCAAGCGUUGUCCGGAAUCAUUGGGCGUAAAGCGCGUGUAGGCGGCUCGAUAAGUCUGCUGUGAAAGUCCAGGGCUCAACCCUGGGAUGCCGGUGGAUACUGUCGAGCUCGAGUCCGGAAGAGGCGAGUGGAAUCCUGGUGUAGCGGUGAAAUGCGCAGAUAUCAGGAGGAACACCAAUGGCGAAAGGCAGCUUGCUGGGCCGACCCUGACGCUGAGGUACGAAAGCGUGGGGAGCGAACAGG
rnacentral:rRNA from 1 species